ACUCCUACGGGAGGCAGCAGUGGGGAAUCUUGCACAAUGGAGGAAACUCUGAUGCAGCGACGCCGCGUGAGCGAUGAAGCCCUUCGGGGUGUAAAGCUCUUUCGACGGGAACGAUAAUGACGGUACCCGAAGAACGAACGCUGCGGCUAACUACGUGCCAGGCAGCCGCGGUAAUUC
rnacentral:rRNA from 1 species